rnacentral:lncRNA from 1 species
UUUUGUAAUUGAUUUUGAAAAUUUAUCUCAGGUCUUCCCUGGUGGUGCAGUUCUUAAGAAUCCAACUGCCAGUGUAUGGGCCACAGUUUCGAUCCCUGGUCCAAAGAUCCUACAUGUUACAGGGUAGCUAAGCCCAUAUGCCACUGAGGCCAUGCUCUAGAGUCUUCGAGCUGCAACUACUGAUGCUGUGUGCCACAACUACUGAAGCCCGAGAGCCUAGAGCCUGCGCUCCACAACAGGAGAAGUCAUUGCAAUGAGAAGCCUUCACACUGCAACUAGAGAAAACCUGAGCACAGCAACGAAGAUCCAGCUCAGCCAAAAAUAAAUAGAUAAAUCAAUAUAAAAAAAAAAGAUUGGUUACUUUUUACAAUUGGCUGUGGUUUCUCAUUGGUCAUCUCAUAUACCUUGGAAUUGAGAAAAGCUAAUCUACAAAUUGUGUUCAAACUUAAAAACAUUUUUAUGAAUAAGAAAGGAAAUAAUGGUUUGAUAUAUAUUAUGUCUUACAGCUGUUUAAAUAUUGCAGUUUUGCAGUUUUCAUAGUUUAGGGCCAAUAUAUUUUUUAACAGGUUUCAAAUGUUUUGGGGGACCCCUGAAAAGUUCAUAGGUCCUCGUUUUUAAAAUGAUCUGCUUAUAAUUUGAUAACACAAACGAUCUAUUAUUAGAAUAUUAUUGCUUAUCAACUAUUUGCUCAGGGAAGUCUUCCCUGACCUUGAAUAUAUUAGGUUUGUCUGUCAUAUGCUCUCCUAGCAAACUUUGCUUCCCAUCAGUAUUUCCAUCAACUGUAAUUACCUAAUUAUUUCUAUUGUUAUUUAUCCACAAUCUUUUUUUCUCUGCUAGCCUAUUGAGAGCAUACCUGCAUCUUCUCACAGGAAAUCUGUUCCAAGAGGAGGGUUUCAUCCUGAUGAGAGUCUGAAUGCCAAAAACUAAAAAGCAUUCUUAAAACAUAUCCUCCCUCCUCCACGUUUUAUCUGGAACAUCUGCCUUUAACAUCGUAUGUGCCUGUAGUGACAGUAGCGUGGUCUUCUGAAGACACAAUUUGUUCUUGGCUGCUCAGCAUCUGGUCUUGGGUCUCUGGCCCUUCUGGAGACCCUGUGAGCUACCUAAUUUACUUGGCAAAAUCGUGAUGAAUCUUUUUAUUUACCACACAGAAAUACAUUUAAAUGUUUAGCUGUUGUAUUCAUAUGGGGUGGGGGGUUUGGGGGAGGUUCAACAGGGAGGGAACAUAUGUAUACUUACGGCUAAUUCACAUAGUUGUAUGGCAGAAGUCAGCAUAAUAUUGUAAAGCAGUUAUCCUCCAAUUAAAAGUAAAUUUUUAAAAAGGAUGCUUUAUAUUUAUUUAUUCUGGAGUUUCC